rfam:Ictidomys tridecemlineatus contig104287, whole genome shotgun sequence.
UGGGAUGUGGCUCAGUGGCAGAGUGCUUGCCUAUCAUUCAAGAGGCCCUGGGAUCCAUCCCCAGCACCUCAA